GGCCUACCAUGGUGGUAACGGGUAACGGGGUGUUAGGGCACGACACCGGAGAGGGAGCCUGAGAAACGGCUACCACAUCCAAGGAAGGCAGCAGGCGCGCAAAUUACCCAAUCCCGACAUGGGGAGGUAGUGACAAUAAAUAACAAUACAGGGUUCUUUUGGAUCUUGUAAUUGGAAUGAGUACAAUUUAAAUCUCUUAACGAGGAACAAUUGGAGGGCAAGUCUGGUGCCAGCAGCCGCGGUAAUUCCAGCUCCAAUAGCGUAUAUUAAAGUUGUUGCAGUUAAAAAGCUCGUAGUUGAACUUCGGGAUCAAUUAGUUGGUCAUGCCUUGGUAUGUACUGAUUUUAUUGGUUCUCACCUUCUAAAGAACUAUAAUGUCAUUUAUUUGAUGUUAUAGGGAAUUAGGACUGUUACCUUGAAAAAAUUAGAGUGUUUAAAGCAGGCUCACGCUUGAAUACAUUAGCAUGGAAUAAUGAAAUAGGACAUCGCAUUCUAUUUUGUUGGUUUCUAGGAUCGAUGUAAUGAUUAAUAGGGAUAGUUGGGGGCAUUAGUAUUCAAUUGUCAGAGGUGAAAUUCUUGGAUUUAUUGAAGACUAACUACUGCGAAAGCAUUUGCCAAGGAUGUUUUCAUUAAUCAAGAACGAAAGUUAGGGGAUCGAAGACGAUCAGAUACCGUCGUAGUCUUAACCAUAAACUAUGCCGACUAGGGAUCGGAUGAUGUUGAUUUUUUAAUGACUCAUUCGGCACCUUACGGGAAAC
rnacentral:rRNA from 1 species